rnacentral:lncRNA from 1 species
UAUUCCAAUGCAGCUGCUAGCUUUCAUGUGGGUGAACAAAUGGAUUUACUAGGCGAUGAAUCCAAAAGGCCAGGAAUUGCUCAUCAAGAAUAUACCUCUACGUCCAAUUCGAGCUGUCAAAUUGACCUGUGGAAGUGAAAUAUAUUCAAGCAAUUAGAGCAUAUAUAUACUAAUUAUAGGAAGCAAAAUUUAUAAGAAAAAGAUGUUUUUAAUCCAGGUUUUCUGUACAUUAUAAAACUAUAUAUAUAUAAUAUAUGGUACUGCAUUAGCUAUGGGAGUCCUGGUGCCCUUAAUUUGUACCAGGCAUGUAGUUAUUGCUAAAUUGACAUUAUGCGAAGUACAAAUAAAUUAGUACGUACUUUUUACUGUGGCCGACAGCUCUUUGGGACUGAAUCGGCCUAAUAUUGAAUGUAUUUUCAGCUUGAAAUACAUAUGAUGGUUUCUUUAUUGUGAUCUUUGUCCUUCUUCGAUCAUUUAUGUUUUUCCUUAACUAAUUAAUCUUUCCCUUUCAAAAAUUUAUAAAUCCUUUAAUUUAGUUCAUAAUUAUGCUGUAAAAGUGAAUUAAUUCAAUCCUUUUGUCCAAAAAACCUUCAUACUAAUACCUUUAUCCUCAUAUGCAACCAUGAGAAAAUUUUACAUUGAAAGAAAGCAUUUAGGUGUGAAUGUUAGAAACAUUUUAAGCUUUUAUAAUGCAUUUGGAGGCCAUAUUCUUAUAUCCGUGAUAUAUUCACUACAGUGUGGGUUCAAAGAUCCAGGGAAAACAUCAAUAUGAAAUCUGGCAAACAUUUUGUGAAGAAAUGACAAUUAUUGGAUCUAUAGAAUUCUAAAUUUCUAAUAUAUGUAUAUAUAUAGUCCGGUCAUUCAAAGUUUAAAUGCUUUGUACUUUUAGACCAAUCAUGUAGGAGAUAUGAUAUAAAAUAAAUGCUACAUUAAGAAGAGUACUUCUGCAUCUCAAGCUUAAAGGAACCUUACUGUAAUUAAGUGUGAUAUUCCUUUAACACUGAACUAUCAAAUGAAGAUAAGGUAAAUGGCAGCAGCUCAUAAAUAUAAUAAAGAUGAAAAGAAUAAUAUAUCUUACUACCCUUAAUAUUAUAUUCCUUAAUAUUAUAUUCCUCUGGCAGUGCAUGUGGUUGAAGAUAAGUUAAAACUGGUGCAUGCCAUAAUGUAAGUAAGUACGAAGCAUAUAGAUAUUUGACAUGAAAAAUGCAUGUCAUUAAAACUAUUUGCAUUUCAGUAGGGGAGAACAUGUUUUUACUAGUUCCAGAACUCAGGACAAAGAAUUUAGAUGCUAAAUAUUGCUAAUAUAUACCACUCAUUGCCUGUUCACUGAACAUAUGCACCUAUGCUUUAGCUACAUACCUGCCGAAGAAGAUGAAUUAAGAUGGCUGUUAGAUCCUGAAGGCUCCAGCACUAUCAAAUUUAGACUGGAAAUACCAUUAAACUGCAGGCUGCUCUGGCCUUGAAGGAGGGUAGGGGUAGCACUGCUGAAAGAAUAGUGAGGGAGAGAGGUGGCGGCAGUUCACAAUGCG